AUGCAGCUGCUAGAUUUUGGUCGAUGCAAUGAUUUGGUAUUGUCCUGUGGUGAUCUUAUCAACUUGCGGCAUGUAUUCAGCGGUCCCGCAUUGCGAAUUUCAAACAUCAGUACGCUUGUCUCACUCCAAACAAUUCCAGAAUUCAAAGUAAGUUAUGAACAAGGGCACGAGGCAAAGCAGUUGGGGUACCUAAACAGGCUCAGCGGCAAACUGAUUAUCUCUGGUCUCGGAAAUGUUCAAAGCAGAGAGGAAGCUCUUGAAUUCGAUCUAGCUGCCAAGAAACGGCUCACAGGUCUAUCAUUAUAUGCAAGUCCAGGAGUUGCAGCAGAGGUACUUGAGGGCCUCUGUCCUCCCGUGGGGAUUGAAAAACUAGAAAUCACUGGCUACGGAGGUUUGGUAUACCCAAACUGGAUGGUGUGCAGGCAAAAUGGUGGACCAGAGAAGCUGCAAGAACUUGAGGGUUUCAUUCAGCUUCGUUCGCUCAAGCUGUCGUACUGCAGCUGGAAUGCCUUGCCAGGCAAUAUGGAGCACCUCAGCUCGCUCGAAUCACUAUACAUUGAUGGAUGUUUGAAUGUGCGGUCGGUUCCAACGCUACCACAGUCUCUUGAGGAUUUUGCACUCUCGGACUGCAACGAUGGGUUUAUGAAGUCUUGUGAAACAGAUGGACACCCAAACUGGCAAAAGAUUCAACACAUCCCCAGGAAAAGGUUUAUGUGGCCCCGCAAAUUAUGA
rnacentral:rRNA from 1 species